rnacentral:rRNA from 1 species
GAUGAACGCUGGCGGCGUGCCUAAUACAUGCAAGUCGAACGGGGAGUCGCAAUACUCUUAGUGGCGAACGGGUGAGUAACGCGUUGGUACCUGCCCCGAAGCGGGGGAUAACGGACCGAAAGGUCCGCUAAUACCCCAUGUGCUCGGUAACGAGUAAAGGUGAAAACCACUUUGGGAGGGGCCUGCGUCCCAUCAGCUAGUUGGUAAGGUAACGGCUUACCAAGGCGAUGACGGGUAGGGGACCUGAGAGGGUGGCCCCCCACAAUGGAACUGAAACACGGUCCAUACACCUACGGGUGGCAGCAGUAGGGAAUAUUGGGAAUGGGCGCAAGCCUGAACCAGCAACGCCGCGUGGGCGAUGACGGCCUUCGGGUUGUAAAGCACUUUUGACGGGGACGAGGAAGGACGGUACCGGUCGAAUCAGCCUCGGCUAACUACGUG